CAUGGCUGCUGCCAGGAAGAGAUAUUGAGGAGGUAAAACCAACUGGAUAAUAUGUUGAUGAUAGCUCUACAGAUGGAUCCAGCCCUAGAUAAAUCUCUGCAUCUUAUUUUUUCCAACUCUGCUUUCCCUUGAUGAACAAUUUCCAACUAUCAUGUGACCCAAGAAUACAAUGAGGAGAAAUUUCAUCAAAAUCAAGGACGAGGAUGUCAGUUUCUGAUGAAAGAUGCAUGGCAAAGUAGCAUCCUAAAGGAGUCAUUUUUAUAUCUCUGUAAAGGAGGUAUCAUUCACAAUCAUGAAUUGAGUACCCUUUUGGCAUAACAUGAGCUCUAAAUUUUAAAAUUCAAUAUCAUGGAAUAUGAUCCUUUUGUGAAGAUACCAAAGGAAACUAGCAUACUGAAUUUCUAGAAAAUUGAGAAGACAGUGGCCUAGAUCUAAAAAGAAAAGAGGAGGAGUCACAGAAUUGUUCUUGAGCCUUUCUUCAUCCACUGGUUGUAUAAAUGCUCUUGAAGUCUUGUGGUGGCAUUGCGAGACUUCUCCACAAUAUUUAAAAAUUUAUUUUGAUAUGAGUGAUUUUAUUGCAUUUUCAAAUGUAGGAGGCCAGGCCUUUGUUUUAUAGAAAAAUUUAAGAGAAUUUACAAGAGAAUUUUUCUGUUGUAUACAAAUGUCAGGUUUGCAAUAAAGAAGGCACUUUAUUUUGUGGCAUUUUUGCAGAUCCCUCUUCAUCAUGCCUGUAGAAGCAUGUGAGUAAAACAAAUUAAUGAUUUAGUAGGAUUGAGUUGAUGAAAUGCAGCAAUAAAGACUGCCAGGUAAAGGAAUAAUUCAGUCUUUUAUUUUUAGCCUCUCAAAAGCUAUAACACCAGGGGGAACUAGUCACAUCGCCAGCAAGUUCAUAGAAAAUGCCCCCAGACCAUUGGAAAUGCUCUGCCAAAUUUAUCAAGGAAUUAUGAAUGAACUAGACAAAUAAAUCAAGCAUCAAACAUCAAUAAGGCAGGUGUGAGAUGCUGGUGAGCACCAUUUCCCAGAAACUUGUCAUUUACACAAGCAAAAGAGAGGUUUAUAUAAAAUGCAAAUACAAAAUGAUAAAAAUCUUAACAUGAGGACCACUGCUCCAAUAAGUUUACUUUAAGAGAAAAAUAAAAAAUAGAAUUCUUAAUGGCCUGAAACUGAACUCCAGUAAAUAUGGCAAAGCUAUUUAACAUAAACAGUAGAAAGAACUGAAGUUAAUCAGUUUGUAGGAAAUAAAUAAUUCAACAAAUAUUUAUUUGAGCACAUACUAUCUGCCUUGGUGGGGCUGGAAACAGAAAACUCAAUGUAGCAAAUCAGUCUGUUAAAAGGGAAUAUGCAAUGCUCUUCCCUGUUAAUUUCUUCUAAAAAGAAGGAAGCGAGUGAGGGUCUUAGGUUUUGUUUCACUCAGAGGAGGAAAUAGAAUAGUCAGGGUGAGCUUCAUUGAAAAAGUGAAACGUGAGCACAGAUUCAAGAAAUCUGAGGUCAUUAACCAAGUCAUAAGGGGGAAGGCACAUAACAGGCAAAAGGCCAAGGUACUGCAAUGAAAGUGUGAAUGGCUUGUUGAGGAAGAGCAGAGUCUACUAUAGUUAGGAAAGCAGGAAUAAGUGAGGAAGUGCAGUCAACCAAUAAGGUCAGAGAGCAGAGUGGAUGUGAGUAGAACAGAUAAUUCAGUCGGGACUGGAAGCCUUCUUGGAAAGAACUUGGGCUUCUACCUGAGGUUUUAGGCAUAGGAACCAUAUUAUUGUCACAAAGGAAUUAGAACUAUGUUGAGAAGGGACUGAAGGUGCAGCAAACAACCUAUUAGCAGGCUGUGGAAAUAUAGGAGAGCAGCAUAACUCUCAUGAAGAUGUGCUCUGAGCUCACUGCUAGUAAUAGGAAGGGGUUUUGUGGUGUGAUAUCCACACUUGCUUCCCCAUGCUAACUGAUAUCCAAGUGCAUACAACACAUGGUGGAUUUUGGAAGGGGUGAAGAGAAUUGCCCACAUCUGAAGAUUCUGUUCCUUUCUUUGUAAAUAUCUCUUUCCAAUAAUUUAUCCUCUUUCUUAGUUCAGCUGCCUCCUUUCUUCUCCAAAUCCAAAGCCAUAUUGCUGGACCCUUCCUCUAGACUGAGCUCUAAUUCCCCACCUCCAAAUACCUCCUAGUUUCCACUUGAUCAUGUGUCCAUUUCCCCAAGUCAAUGUUUCCAAAAUCUAUGAUCCUACUUGAUCCUACCUAAGACUCUUCUAAAAACUAUUUUCAUUGAUAAACAAAAUACUUCAAAGGUCCACAGUGUAUAUAACCUAGCACCUAAAGAGGAAGGAUCAUUUAGUGUGCAAAUAUUAUUAGAAAAAUAAAAGACAAAAGUCAAUAAUUUUGAUUGUAUGAAAAUUAAAUUAUGUUUAUCAAAAAUGUAAUGACUUCUAAGAUAGACAAAC
rnacentral:lncRNA from 10 species